UUAAAUGAACCUUUUUGUAUAUGUUUUCAUUGCGUAAAUUUGUGGAGUAUUUAAAAAUAGAAUUGCAGCAAAAAAAAUACAAAAGAUGCCUACACAAAGCAGCUAAAAUACCCAUUGUAAUUAAGGGAAAAUGCAAAAAUAAAUGAAAAUCACAAAGUCAAUGCGCAAAUAUGUGUGAAAAGGUGGAAAAUGGAGAUCCAAGCAAAACCGCAAACAAAGACGAAAUUAGAGCGAAGUGGGAACAACCACAUUCAGCUAGCGAGGCGGUGGCGCCUCCAUUUGUUGUACGCUUGAGUUGAACGAUUUGAUUUGGCCGCUGCUGAAUGCGUAAAACUUUUCGC